rnacentral:rRNA from 1 species
GCUAGCUACGGGCUUAACACAUGCAAGUCGAGGGGCAUCAGGAAGAAAGCUUGCUUUCUUUGCUGGCGACCGGCGCACGGGUGAGUAACACGUAUCCAACCUGCCCUUUACUCGGGGAUAGCCUUUCGAAAGAAAGAUUAAUACCCGAUGGCAUAAUGAUUCCGCAUGGUUUCAUUAUUAAAGGAUUCCGGUAAAGGAUGGGGAUGCGUUCCAUUAGGUUGUUGGUGAGGUAACGGCUCACCAAGCCUUCGAUGGAUAGGGGUUCUGAGAGGAAGGUCCCCCACAUUGGAACUGAGACACGGUCCAAACUCCUACGGGAGGCAGCAGUGAGGAAUAUUGGUCAAUGGGCGCUAGCCUGAACCAGCCAAGUAGCGUGAAGGAUGAAGGCUCUAUGGGUCGUAAACUUCUUUUAUAUAAGAAUAAAGUGCAGUAUGUAUACUGUUUUGUAUGUAUUAUAUGAAUAAGGAUCGGCUAACUCCGUGCCAGCAGCCGCGGUAAUACGGAGGAUCCGAGCGUUAUCCGGAUUUAUUGGGUUUAAAGGGAGCGUAGGUGGACUGGUAAGUCAGUUGUGAAAGUUUGCGGCUCAACCGUAAAAUUGCAGUUGAUACUGUCAGUCUUGAGUACAGUAGAGGUGGGCGGAAUUCGUGGUGUAGCGGUGAAAUGCUUAGAUAUCACGAAGAACUCCGAUUGCGAAGGCAGCUCACUGGACUGCAACUGACACUGAUGCUCGAAAGUGUGGGUAUCAAACAGGAUUAGAUACCCUGGUAGUCCACACAGUAAACGAUGAAUACUCGCUGUUUGCGAUAUACAGUAAGCGGCCAAGCGAAAGCAUUAAGUAUUCCACCUGGGGAGUACGCCGGCAACGGUGAAACUCAAAGGAAUUGACGGGGGCCCGCACAAGCGGAGGAACAUGUGGUUUAAUUCGAUGAUACGCGAGGAACCUUACCCGGGCUUAAAUUGCAGUGGAAUGAUGUGGAAACAUGUCAGUGAGCAAUCACCGCUGUGAAGGUGCUGCAUGGUUGUCGUCAGCUCGUGCCGUGAGGUGUCGGCUUAAGUGCCAUAACGAGCGCAACCCUUAUCUUUAGUUACUAACAGGUUAUGCUGAGGACUCUAGAGAGACUGCCGUCGUAAGAUGUGAGGAAGGUGGGGAUGACGUCAAAUCAGCACGGCCCUUACGUCCGGGGCUACACACGUGUUACAAUGGGGGGUACAGAAGGCAGCUAGCGGGUGACCGUAUGCUAAUCCCAAAAUCCUCUCUCAGUUCGGAUCGAAGUCUGCAACCCGACUUCGUGAAGCUGGAUUCGCUAGUAAUCGCGCAUCAGCCACGGCGCGGUGAAUACGUUCCCGGGCCUUGUACACACCGCCCGUCAAGCCAUGGGAGCCGGGGGUACCUGAAGUACGUAACCGCAAGGAUCGUCCUAGGGUAAAACUGGUGACUGGGGC